CGAGGUACCGCCUCGUAAUAUCAUUUCACAAUCACAAUCAUAAUCUUUCCUUAUACCGCCUCGUAAUCUCAUUUCACAAUCACAAUCACAAUCUUUCCUUAUACCACCUCAUGAGCCUUACAUUUAGAUAGUUUUAAAAAUAGUUUUUCCAAAAUAGCUACACGCACUUUAGCCCAACUUAUGUCGCUGCGUGGCUUCAAGUAAUUCCCUUACUAGAAACACACAAAUAAAUCCCACCGUAUGCCGCCUCAUGCAAAUUAACCCCUAUCCUUAUACCGCUGUAUGCGCAUCAAUAUCACAACAUAAUCACAACUCGCACCACAAGUGCCCGUAUGCCACAACUUGCCAAAAGAACCAAUAAUACCAAUAUUAUUUCUCAACAAAUAGCCCAUGGCUCAACCACAAUGUGUACAAGAAUCUCAACAAUAGCAUACUGAAAGUUAAUAGCUCAACAAGAAUGGUAUUUCAAUAAUUAACAACUUUGCCUCAAUAUGAUCACGACUUUUACAACUUCAACACCAAUAAUUCAAUAAGAAGCUAUUUCAUGAAAACAACAACUUCAAGUAAACAAUUCAACAAAUAAAGAAGUAACAGACAAUAGAGAAGACAAUAAACUCAACUAAAACAUAUAAGAGCAAAUAACAAGUAAAAGGUGAAAUAAGUGUUAACAAUGUUAAAUAAGGCAUUUGAGGGUAGAUUAAUGCAUGUAAGGGUGGACUAACAAUGAAAAAUAUAAUCUGCUAUGACAAUUGAAUCAAAGGCAUGAAAAGAGUCUAAAUAGCCCUAACUGGUCAAAUACAAAAUAUAGCCCGUGUACCCACUCGUCACCUUGCAUACACGGCUUUCACAUGUCACAAAUAGUGCGAUCAAUCCAAAUCCUAAGGGGUAGUUCCCUCACACAAAGUUAGGCAAGAUACAUACCUCAAACAAGCUUACUCAAUCCACUAGUAAGCCUUUUCCAUGAAUAUCCAACUCCGAACGGCUCGAAUCUAGCCAAAAUAACUUUAUACCAUAAAUACAAACCAUAGAAAACUAUUCCGGAUAAUAAAGUUGCAAUCUUUAAAGAAAAUCAAAAAGUCAACUCAAAAGUCAACCUUGGGCUCGCGCCUCGAAAUAUGACGAAACUUACAAAAUCCGAAUACUUAUUCAAUAACGAGUCAAAACAUACUAAAAUUAUUUAAUUCCGACCUCAAAUCGACCUUGAAAUCCUCAAAACACUAAUUUUUCCAACUCAAAACACUAAUUAAAUGAUAAAAAUAAUGAUGGAUUCAUUUAUAAUUGUCAAAUCUGAGUUAAAAUCACUUACCCCGAUUAAAUCCUUGAAAAUCACUUCCAACAUUUUCCAAAACCGAGGUCUCUCACUCAAACGAUGGAAAAUAGAUUAAAACCCUUUAUCUGCCCCUUUUUAGCCCAGUGAUUUCGUUUUCUCAAUGGACCAACAGCCACUUCUGCGGCUCUACACCUGCGGAAAACCCGUCGCAGGUGUGACUUCCACUUAAGCCCAGGCAAAUCCACUUACGAGGACACAAAUGUGCUUCUGUGCUUCCGCUCCUACGGACAUAUGGGCGCUUCUGCACACCCGCUCCGUUGGACAGUGUUCGCUUUUAUGACCCUAGGUCAUUCUGUCCCUAUCCGCAUCUGCGACCAAUCCUCCGUACCUGCGGACUCGCAUAUGUGGAAACCCCCUUGCAUCUGCGGUCACAGCCCAACCUCUAGAACCUCGCUUAUAUGGCUCACAAGCCUCUUCUGAUGUGCCGCACCUGCCGCCCAAAAUGUGCAGGUGCGAUUGAAUCAUAUCCUUAGCUGGGCAGAUUUUUUUCCUAAGUAUCAAAUGGUUCCGGAUUCAAUCCAAAUCACAUCGACGCCUAAAAUCACAUCAACAACAUCGAAUCUAUUAAUCACAACCUAAUUCAAACCUAUUGAAUCUAUGAACAUUCAACUUUGAAAACUAACUCUGAUUCAUACCAAGCCAACUUCGAUUGACCUCAAAUUUUACACACAAGUCAUAAAUGACACGGACCUAUUCUAACUUCUGAAAUCAGAAUCCGACCCCGAUAUCAAUAAAGCCAACUCUCGGUCAAACUUCUCAACCUUCCAAACCAUUAACUUUCUAAGAUUCACCAAUUCAAGCCAAAACGACAUACAGAUCUCCAAAUCAAUAUCUGAACACGCUCCUAAGUCCAAAACCACAAUACGAAUCUAUCAGAACCAUGAAAACUUCACUCUAGAGUCGUCUACACAAAAGUCAAACUCCGGUCAACUGUUUCAACUUAAGCUUCCAACCUUGGGACUAAGCAUUCUUAAUUCACUCCGAUACUCACCCGAAACCAAAAAACCACCCCGACAAGUAACAUAACCACAAUAUAACAUAUAUGAGGCAAUAAAAAGGGUAAUGGGGCAAAAAUAAUCAAAAUGACUAGACGGGUCGUUACAUCCUCACCUCUUAAAAACGAGUAUAGAGACAUACCUGAAGUGGUAAAAAGAUGAGGAUAACGACAAUGCAUAUCAUGCUUUGUCUCCCAAGUCGCCUCCUCGACUGGGUGACCCUUCCACUGAAGCAAUGUUCUUCAACCUCAACUUUCGAAACUGCCUGUCCAAGAUGGCCACCAGCUUCUCAAUAUAAGACAAAUCCUUGUCCAACUGGACUGAGCUGAAAUCUAAUACAUGAGACGGAUCACCGUGAUACUUUUGGAGCAUGAAAACAUGAAACACUGAAUAAACUACAGAUAAAGUAGGUGGCAAUGCACCUCUCCUAUUUUCUCAAGGAUCUCGAAAGGGCUUAUAUACCUUGGGCUCAACUUUCCCUUCUUCCUAAACCUCAUCACACCCUUCAUGGGUGAAACCCGGAUGAAAACCCUCUCUCCAACCAUAAAUGCUACAUCACGAAUAUUCCAAUCAGCAUAACUCUUCAGCCUAAACUGUGUUGUAUGAAGCCGAUCCUGGAUCAACUUGACCUUCUCCAAAGCAUCUCGAACCAAAUCUGCGCCCAACAAUCUAGCCUCACCUGGCUCAAAACAAUUACUGAAGAAUUACAUCGCCUCCUAUAUAGGGCCUCAAAGGGAGCCAUUUGAAUGCUCGACUGGUAGCUGUUAUUAUAGGAAAACUACGCAAGCAGCAAGAACUGAUCCCAAGAACCCCCGAAAUCCAUAACACAUGAACAAAACAUAUCCUCAAAGAUCUUAAUGGUGCACUCGGACUAUCCAUCCAUUUGUGGGUGAAAUGUUGUAUUCAACUCAACCACUUUGCCUAACUCACGUUGUACAGCUCUCCAGAAGUGCAAUGUAAACUACGUGCCCCAGUCAGAGAUGAUGGAUACCGGCACACCAUGAAGUUGGACAAUCUGGCAGAUAUAUAUCUGAGCUAGAUGCUCUGAAGAGUAGGUAGUCACCACCAGAAUGAAAUGAGCGUGACUUGGUCAACCUAUCCACAAUCACCCAUACAAUGUCAAAAUUCGUCUGAGUCCAUGGGAGCCCAACAAUGAAGUUCAUGGUAACACGCUUCCAUCUCCACUCAGAAAUCUCAGGUCUCUGAAGCAACCCUCCUUGCAUCUGGUGCUCACACUUUGCCUGCUAACAGUUGAGGCACCGAGCCACAUACUCUACUAUAUAUUUAUUCAUUCUCCUCCACCAAUAGUACUGUGUCAAAUCCUGAUACAUCUCAGUGGCACCCGGAUGAAUGGAGUACCGCAAACUGUGGGCCUCCUGAAGAAUCAACUCAUGUAACCCAUCCAUAUUGGGCACACAUAAUCAUCCCUGCAUACGCAACAUACUGUCAUCUCCGAUAGAAACCUCCUUGGCAUCACAGUACUGUACCGUGUCCUUAAGGACAAGUAAAUGGUCGCCAUACUAAUGCUCUCUGAUGCGCUCAUAUAAAUAAGACCGAGAAACCACACAAGAAAGAACCCGACUGGGCUCCAAAAUAUCCAAUCUAACAAACUGAUUGGCCAAAGCCUGAAAAUCAAUGGCUAGUGGCCUCUGUGCUGUCAGUAAAUAUGCCCAACUACCCAUACUCUCCGCCUUUCGACUCAAGGCAUAGACCACCAUAUUGGCCUUCCUGGGAUGAUAUAGAAUAGUGAUAUCAUAGUCCUUGAGCAACUCUAACCACCUCUGCGACCACAAAUUAAGAUCUUUCUAUUUGAACAGAUUCUGGAGACUCCGGCGGUCUGUAUAGACCUCACAUGGGACACCGUACAAAUAGUGCCACCAAAGCUUCAAUGUAUGAACAAUAGCUGCCAAUUCCAGGUCGUGGAUAGGAUAAUUCUUCUCAUGGACCUUUAGAUGCCGAGAUGCAUAGGCAAUCACCCUACCAUUAUGCAUCAACAUCGCACCAAGGCCAACAUGUGACACAUCACAAUACAUGAUGUAAGACCCCGAACCCGUAGGCAACACCAAAGCAGUCUUGAGCUUCUAAAAGGUUGCCUCACACUCCUCAGACCGUCUAAAGGGAGCAUUCUUCUGGGUAAAUCUAGUCAUAGGUGCAGCAAUGGAUUAAUAACCCUCUACAAAAUAGCGAUAAUACCCGGCCAAACUAAGGAAACUCUGAAUCUCAGUAGCUGAAGAUAGUCUGGGCCAACUCUGCACUACUUCAAUCUUCUUUGGAUCUACCUUAAUCCCCUCGCUUGACACCAUAUGAUAAACUAAUUCCACCCAAUCAAGCCAUGAUUCGAGAGAUGAAUCCCGUGGAUGCGUGUUAUGUUUCACCCUAUUAAUAUAUGGCGCUUGUGUAAUGACUUUGGUUUGACAUUCCUCUAUAGAUAUAGUGUGCAAAUAAAUUUGCUUGGUUGCUUCUUUAUGGGUAUUCGUGUGCUGGUAGAGCACUAGUCGUUCGAUAAGACAUGAUAUUUAUUUAGGACUAAGACAGAGUAAGUGAAUCUUGAGAAGGUUCUAAUUGGUUCAAGAAUUCAGUAUGUGGUAUCUAAAGAUUUUCAGAUCUGUGUGCGACUAAGGAUUUGAGAUUUGCAUUGUAUUAUGGAAUAGACUUGGAAUAUUCUAUAUAAUUUUCGGUUCAGCAGUGUAGUAUUAGAGAGAUGGAAGAUACAACUUUAGAUUCGUAGAAGGUAUAUUCGGAGCAGGCACUUUGGUUUGAUGUACUAUUGGGAUCACUUGGGAUGAGUCUUGGUUACGGUUCAUAGUGUAUUGGGAAGAGUAGUGUUGCCUUGAAGGUGGGUCAAGAGAAAUCGGAAGAUGUUGAGUCAGCUUAGCAGUAGUUUGGAUCAGCAUAGUGAUAAAAAUGAUCGGUUCCUUGGUAGGAUAGGGACUUAUCAGUGCUUUUCUGUAAAGAUUCUUAGGUUGACAGUCUGCUUGACUUGGUUGAUUUAGAGGGAUUCAGUUCUGAUUGACUAUUUAUUUGCAAAUGAGUUUUGAAGAGUUAACGAUAGUCUUGACUAUUGCACCCUAUUUUGCACUAGUCAAAACAAAAUACAACUAAUGGUUCUUCUGAAGUUGAAAAAAGAGAGUUGUCACCUAAUAUUUUAAUGUAUAUAAGGGUACCUAUAGGUUUGUGAGAUUAUUAUCCUAAUGGUCUGCUAACCAGUGAGAUUUGGGUAAGGGUUCUAGUUAUUCUAAGUGGAAGAUGUUAGGCAUCCCUUAAAAUCCACGUGAGGUGGCUCCUUACACUUAAGCUAGGUUUGGGGAAAGAAAAGUCUACAUUCUGCUCAAUCAGUUUUUAAAGUAUGUGAAACAUAUUCUAUGGCUUAUCUGAAAAUUCACUACUUUGAGAAUAUUGUGUAUACACUUUGGAAAAAGAAAGACGUUAUUUGUUUAUGAGUUUAUAAAAAAUCACAUUUUAAAAUAUAUGUAUACCUUAAGUGGAAAGCUGGAUAUGCCUUUGCCUUUGAAGAAAGUCAGUUAUUUAAAAACUUAUUGUUCUGAACAUAGUUAUGUUUUUUGCCUUGAAGAAAAGGUUGUAACUUUGUGGAGUAAAAGACUAUUUUGAAAAUACACCUUGAGUUGAAAUGGGUAUACCUUAUUAGUUGAUGCGGGGAAGCCUUGUGUUUAAAACUUAUUGAGGUUCAUCAUUUUGUAAAGUUGGCUAUGUUUGGUUGUAGUUCUCGAAUAUAGCAUCUUACAUUACUUUCGCGAUUUGAUUUUCCAAAGAGAGUUUGCUUUUCCUUUUAAAUCUGCCAAAGUCUAAACUGAAAUUGUUAGUAAUAAUAAGAUAAGACCUUUUGUUUGUUAAAAAAUAAGUUUGAAAUUAAUAGUGAUCAGACAUUAGAGGAACAAAAGUGAGCAGGAUUCCUAAUUUAGCCUUUACCUACGAGUCAUGGUUUGCCUAUGUUCCUAGAAAAUUAAAGUAUCAAAAUAUUCCAAUAACAAAGUUGGUCAUUUAGAGAUAUACAUAUGAAAUGGAAAACAAUAACGAAUAUUAUUCAAAGUAAAAAAAGAGAGAAGAUGGACUCUUUGACAAUUGGGCUGGUAAGCUUAGCCAGGCCCAACAAGAUUUAGAUCAAAGCGGCAGACUCCAAUAUGAUAAAAAGGGAGCAGUCUGGAUUUGAUUUUGGGAUAGAGUCCAAAAGGAACUCAGCAGGCCCAAUUCGAAACAUGUACACAAAAAUUAGAGGAUAAUUAGUGUAUUUGAAGUAUAGAACGAAAUAAGAUAAAGCUUAUGAUAAAUAAUAAUAAAGAUCUGAGGAAUAUGGUGAGGCCAAUUUUAUUUGUGCUAAUCCUAUGAGGAUUAAUAAAAGUUAAUAACUAAAGGCUUUGAGCAAAUCCUUGUUUAUGGAUAAGGAUCCCCUUGUGGGCCCAUGAUACUUUAGAGUUCACAAGGGUCUCACGGACACCGAGCAGUGCCUGUGUCAGGGAGAGGUGCCUUAACCACAAACCAGAUUUCCUCCCAAAUACCAUUAGUCACCUACUCUUAAUCUUCCUCAAAGAUUUAGGCACAAAUAAAAGGAUCAACUUAGUAAUUUCACAUUGCCAGGAUAUAAAUAGUAGGUGUAAAGAGUCAUGGUAAGCCUUUCAAAGGGUCAGACACAAAAUAAAUUCAACAACAUUAAGCAAACAGAAUACAGUAAUUCAUCAUCAGGACACUAAAGCAACUCAAGGCACAACAUUGACUUAGGGAAGUUCAUAUCAGAGUGUGGGGUAUAAGGAUACGACAUUACAGAUGGAAUGGAGUCACUGUUGGGACAUAAUCAAACAAGAUUAAAGAGUAUAUGUAAUUGGUUACACAUAGACAUGCUUCAUUACUCAUAUCUUUAGACCCAAAAGUGUUAACUGGCAUGUAUCCUACAUUGAUGAUCCCAAUCAUUUGUUUUAUUGGCUUCAAUAUAUCCUAAGUAGGUGCAGAUCAUAAGGAGAGUUCAUAGAUACUUCUAAAAGCUUCAGCAAAGUUAAGAGCAAGCAUACAUCUCGUUAAGAUCUUAUCAUUUUAACAGUUAGGACAAUAGGGUCAUCAAUCAGGAAAGAGUUAAUGUUAGUCUUGUUUAAUCCUAAUGGAUUGAUUAUAACAAUACAGAGUUCAUCAAGCUUUCCGACUAUCAGACUUAAACAACUUCACGUUAAGUCCUCUACAGGUAAUGACACUAACAGGUAUAAGACAAUAGGUGAUGAUAUUCACUUUAACUUGAUAAGGCAAACAUGUCACAAUAUACUAACACCUGGACAUGCAGACCAGUUCACUAGCAAGACUUAGUGCAUGAUUCUGUGUACAGGUCAUUAUAAUUUCACGGCUCGGGCUAACAGUUAUCAUUUAAGCAAGGAUGGAUCAUUAGGGAUAGUCUCUUAUGGAGGAUCACUCACUGAACAUAAACCAAUACACCAUCAUAAAAGAUAAGGAUUAUCAUAGGUUACACAUCGAUACAAGUAUAAAUCUCUUCAAGAUAAGGUCGUUAAAUACUUUAUGGGCACAACAACACUAAUACAAUAUGUAUGAACCUAGGCAGAGAAGUUAGGAAGAGUCAUCUAAUUAACAUAACAAUAGGAACUUCAUGUAUAUUUCAUCACAGAACUCAAACAAUCAUGAGAUGACAUUCAUUACAUGAGUCAAUCCCAACCAAUUACAUUCAGACAUGAGAGUAUGAUUUCUAACAUACUAUCAGGGUUCAUUAUAUGCUUUCUUUUGUUUCCAAUCAUCAUAAAAAGCACACAGAAAUCACUAUAUUAUAGUAGCAUGAAUAGGAUGCUAAUUAUAGCCCAAACAAAUCAACAUGAGAACAUGAGAAAUGCCAUAAUUAUGUUCCGAGGAGUAAGGAAAAACAUCAUAGAAUCACAUAUAUCAAGAUGGCUUAGUGUCGGUAAAUAUUAAUAGUAUUUUCAAGAGAAGUUUAAAAAGUCUGAUUUUAUUCCAUUUUGAUCUUCACGAUAAUAUAUACAGAAUCAAUUACUUAACUAACAAAUCACAUACAAUAUUAUCAGCAUAGUAUGUAAUUCAAUUAAUCAUGAAUCUUAAUAGGGUCUAAGGGUAACAACAGUACAGGUACAUGGAUCACUGAAUGUGCAGAACAAGAAGGUUAUCAACGACAAAUUUAUCAGCUAAGGUUAUCAAAGCAGACAGGUUAAUGAAAAGGCAUGAAACGCAUGGAGAACGCUUCAUUAGGCCAGGACAUGGCAACAUAAAUGUCAAAAGCAGGUGGAUCAAGUUAAUAUUAUUACUAAAAGUGCAAAAUAUUAGGGAGAGUUCAAGAACAUGAUUCAAUUAGCUUAGCUGACAUGAUAAUGCUUAUAUAAUUGUUGUUUGACUAAUAGAGGAGAGUUAUACACAAAAUUGAAACAAAAGUUGACUCAGCUAAGCAUGGAGACUUAAUAAGAUCAAUCAUAAUAAUAUCACUUAAUAUAUAGUUCAUUCCUACUGACCAGAUAAUAAAUGAUAGGAUUCAAUAGCACAUAUUUCAUAAUAGAUUUAAUACAACUUAACUUAAUCAGAAGAUUCCUAAUUUAGCAGUGAAAAUAGCAUGCAAAGACAGGACAUAACAAAUACAACCUUACAUUACUAAUAGCUAACAUAAAAAACAGAGAAUCAACUAGGAAAUCAUUAAGAACACAAGACUAUACAAUUAAUUCAAGGUAAAGAAAGGGGUCAUUUUGCACUGACCUUCUAUAGGGCAGCAAACCAAGCAAAUGUUGAUUCCUAGUUGUUUGAAACUACAAAGUCAUAACAGUCCACUUAGAGUGAUUGAACUCACCCAGAAAUGAAAGAGGAAAAUAAGAAGUUAGAGAAGAAACUACUGUAACCUAGAUUUAGCAGAAGAAAAUUAAACUUUUGAUUUCUCAUUGUAUAUGUGAGUGGUGUUAGUGUGUAUUGAUAUCUAUCGAUGUUUGUUAGAUGAGAGCAUUUAAGGCCAUAUUUAUAGUGGCCUUCAAUGCCAUAGGGUUCCGAUAGAAUAUAAUUUUGUUAGUGAAAAGUGACGAAUGGUUGAUGAUGAUAGUAAGGCGGGUGAAAAUAAGAAGAAAAAAUGGAAAAAACAUCAAAGAACUUUUACCUGGGCACGAGGCUUGAGGAAUCAGCCGUUGAGAAUGAAGAUCAAUCGGCCAAAGCUCUAAUGUCCAGAGGUCACUGCGUUUGACCUUCGGACAAAAUAAUAAUGAUUUAAAUCAGACAUACAUGUUCCGAUUUGAGGGAUGAAGGAAGAACAGAUGACUUUCAAUUGCAUGAUUUUAGGUCUAGGGUUUAAUUUGGGAGUUUUGAAUUGCAUUGACGAAAAUGAAAAUGAAUUGGCAGGAUUCACGGAUACAGAAAUAGGAUGGAUGAUUUAGGGUUGAAUCAUGUGACCUUGCACAAAUUUGUGUAAGGUUUGAUGGGGUUGAUGGAUGAGAGAAAAGAGAAGAAAUUGGGAAAGAGGGGCGGCCGGUCAAGGAGCAAAUGAGUAGGGUUUAGGGGUGUCUCUAAGAUUAU
rnacentral:lncRNA from 1 species